UUUGAUCCUGGCUCAGAGCGAACGCUGGCGGCAGGCUUAACACAUGCAAGUCGAACGGGCACUUCGGUGCUAGUGGCAGACGGGUGAGUAACACGUGGGAACGUACCUUUCGGUUCGGAAUAAUACAGGGAAACUUGUACUAAUACCGAAUACGCCCUUCGGGGGAAAGAUUUAUCGCCGAUAGAUCGGCCUGCGUCUGAUUAGCUAGUUGGUGAGGUAAUGGCUCACCAAGGCGACGAUCAGUAGCUGGUCUGAGAGGAUGAUCAGCCACACUGGGACUGAGACACGGCCCAGACUCCUACGGGAGGCAGCAGUGGGGAAUAUUGGACAAUGGGCGAAAGCCUGAUCCAGCCAUGCCGCGUGUGUGAUGAAGGCCUUAGGGUUGUAAAGCACUUUUGUCCGGGAAGAUAAUGACUGUACCGGAAGAAUAAGCCCCGGCUAACUUCGUGCCAGCAGCCGCGGUAAUACGAAGGGGGCUAGCGUUGCUCGGAAUCACUGGGCGUAAAGGGCGCGUAGGCGGACUCUUAAGUCGGGGGUGAAAGCCCAGGGCUCAACCCUGGAAUUGCCUUCGAUACUGAGAGUCUUGAGUUCGGAAGAGGUUGGCGGAACUGCGAGUGUAAGAGGUGAAAUUCGUAGAUAUUCGCAAGAACACCAGUGGGCGAAGGCGGCCAACUGGUCCGAUACUGACGCUGAGGCGCUAAGCGUGGGGAGCAAACAGGGAUUAGAUACCCUGGGUAGAUCCACGCCGUAAACGAUGAAUGCCAGCCCGUUGGGGUGCAUGCACCUUCAUUGGCG
rnacentral:rRNA from 1 species